GCCUGGAUAGCUCAGUUGGUUAGAGUGUACUGCUGAUAAUGCCAAGGUUGAAGGUUCAAUCCCUGCAGGGGGUUGGACU